GCAAACAGGAUUAGAUACCCUGGUAGUCCACGCCGUAAACGAUGUCUACUUGGAGGUUGUGCCCUUGAGGCGUGGCUUCCGGAGCUAACGCGUUAAGUAGACCGCCUGGGGAGUACGGCCGCAAGGUUAAAACUCAAAUGAAUUGACGGGGGCCCGCACAAGCGGUGGAGCAUGUGGUUUAAUUCGAUGCAACGCGAAGAACC
rnacentral:rRNA from 1 species